ACUCAAAGGAAUAGACGGGGGCCCGCACAAGCGGCGGAGCGUGCGGUUUAAUUCGACGCAACGCGCAGAACCUUACCAGGGCUUGACAUGGAUCUGCAGAGCCGGGAAACCGGUUGGCCUUCGAGGGUGAUCCACAGGUGCUGCAUGGCUGUCGUCAGCUCGUGUCGUGAGAUGUUGGGUUAAGUCCCGCAACGAGCGCAACCCUCGUGCGUAGUUGUCGAUGUUUCUACGCAGACUGCCGCGAGCAACGCGGAGGAAGGUGGGGAUGACGUCAAGUCAGCAUGGCCCUUACGUCCUGGGCAACACGCACGCUACAAUGGCUGGGACAGCGGGUAGCCAAGCGGCAACGCGGAGCGAAUCCCCAAAAAACCCAGUCUCAGUUGGAAUUGUGGGCUGCAACUCGCCCGCAUGAACGUGGAGUCGCUAGUAACCGCAGGUCAGCAUUACUGCGGUGAAUACGUUCCCGGGCCUUGUACACACCGCCCGU
rnacentral:rRNA from 1 species